CAGUAGCCGCGGUAAUACGUAGGUGGCAAGCGUUGUCCGGAAUUAUUGGGCGUAAAGCGCGCGCAGGCGGCCUAUCCAGUCUGUCUUAAAAGUUCGGGGCUCAACCCCGUGAUGGGAUGGAAACUAGUAGGCUAGAGUAUCGGAGAGGAAAGCGGAAUUCCUAGUGUAGCGGUGAAAUGCGUAGAUAUUAGGAAGAACACCAGUGGCGAAGGCGGCUUUCUGGACGAAAACUGACGCUGUGGCGCGAAAGCUAGGGGAGCGAACGGGAUCAGAUACCCGCGUAGUCCCUGUCUCUUAUACC
rnacentral:rRNA from 1 species